CAUUCGGUCGGUAGUCAGUCGUCACCUUGAUAUUCACGCGAGUACAACCGCAGUCAGUGCCGGUCGGUGCCCAGCCAGAACAGAGUGUCCUUGUUCCCCAUUGCGAAGGCAAAUUACCAUUGAUUGCUUGAGAGGAACAUACCUACAACUCAACUGCGCUACAUUUUUCCAAGCAUCGAGAUUCGACAGUUUGUGUGAAAAGUUUGUUUCCUCAAUUUCGAACGAAACCAAUCAAUUUGCAGAAUGUGCAAGUGUAUCGCCGGAAGCGUCGUUUGUUGCUGCUGCCAAUGUGCGAUGAGCGUUUUCAUCUCGCUGCUGUUUGUGGGAAUCCUGCUGGCGGCCGCGAUCGCAGCCGGCAUCUACUUCGGGGUACUGAACGUCGAUGACAGCGCACCGGAACUGUCCGAGUACAUCCACAAAACGGGCGACUCGAUAAAGGAUGCCGUCAAAGAUAAGAUCAACUAGAGUGGGAGUGGAGUACAUGCCUUCAACGGUGGCUUGAGUUAAGCAGUAUUCCAAAAAGUGCCAGCCAGCCAUUUUUUUAGAAUCUCAAGGAUUGAUCUUCUCACUUUUAAAAUAUGCCAUCGUCUUGCGCACGUGCUUUGUACUAAGGAAAUAUUCGAUAAACAUUAAAGGAUUUGCAUUUUUUGCAGUCCAAGCAUCACAAACAGUGCAUUAGUACUAAAAAGAAUAUACCAACAAAUAACAUCAACGCUUAUUGUAACUUAUUUGGCCUACGAUUUACAGUACAACGCAUUUCAAAGAAUCGAUACAUCACAACUGGAUCAACAGAUAUAUAAAAUAGGUUUUAUUUAUUCUCGCAACAACGUACCCAAAUGGUUCUACAAAAUCCUCGAAAUCUACACAAUGCUCUAUUGCGGUAGAUUUUUUAGUCUAGGUUUGUCAAUGUUUUCCAAUAAUGCGAUGUAAAUAAACGACUAUUUAUUGCUAUGUCUUCUUAAUGUAAAACUA